rnacentral:rRNA from 1 species
UCAAGGUAUGAAGGGCGUACGGUGGAUGCCUUGGCACUAGGAGCCGAUGAAGGACGCGACGAACAGCGAUAUGCUUCGGGGAGCAGUAAGUAUGCUUUGAUCCGAGGAUUUCCGAAUGGGGGAACCCACCAUCCGUAAUGGGAUGGGACAUGUUACAUGAAUACAUAGUGUAGCGUGAGGCAGACCCGGGGAACUGAAACAUCUAAGUACCCGGAGGAAGAGAAAGCAAAUGCGAUUCCCUGAGUAGCGGCGAGCGAAACGGGAACAGCCCAAACCGGAGAGCAUGCUCUCCGGGGUUGUAGGACACUCUAUACGGAGUCAAAAAGGAAGACAGUAGGUGAACGACCUGGAAAGGUCGGCCGAAGAAGGUGACAGCCCUGUAGCUGAAACUGUUUUCCCUCCAGAGUGGAUCCUGAGUACGGUGGGACACGUGUACAGGGUUUUACUGAGGUCUUGGAGGAGUUUCUCUUUGGGCUCGGUCGUCUUUCGACGACCGAUAGUGAACCAGUACCGUGAGGGAAAGGUGAAAAGCACCCCGGAAGGGGAGUGAAAUAGAUCCUGAAACCGUAUGCCUACAAGUAGUCAGAGCCCGUUAACGGGUGAUGGCGUGCCUUUUGUAGAAUGAACCGGCGAGUUACGAUAGCGCGCGAGGUUAAGCUGAUGAGGCGGAGCCGUAGCGAAAGCGAGUCUGAAUAGGGCGCCAUAGUGCGUUGUCGUAGACCCGAAACCAGGUGAUCUACCCAUGUCCAGGAUGAAGGUCAGGUAACACUGACUGGAGGUCCGAACCCACGCACGUUGAAAAGUGCGGGGAUGAGGUGUGGGUAGCGGUGAAAUGCCAAUCGAACCUGGAGAUAGCUGGUUCUCCCCGAAAUAGCUUUAGGGCUAGGGAGCUCCAACUCUCAAGGCCUCCAUCUCGUGACUAACCUCUAGGGGCCCCCACAGGGUUACCGAAUUCAGUUAAACUCCGAAUGCCGGCAACUUAUACUCGGGAGUCAGACUGCGAGUGAUAAGAUCCGUAGUCAAGAGGGAAACAGCCCAGACCGCCAGCUAAGGUCCCAAAGUGUAUGUUAAGUGGAAAAGGAUGUGGCGCUGCCUAGACAGCUAGGAUGUUGGCUUAGAAGCAGCCACCAUUCAAAGAGUGCGUAAUAGCUCACUAGUCGAGUGGCGCCGCGCCGAAAAUGUAACGGGGCUAAACAUACCACCGAAGCUGCGGAUUCCGUAAGGAAUGGUAGGGGAGCGUUCCAAACCGCUGUGAAGCUGUACCGUAAGGAGCAGUGGAGCGUUUGGAAGUGAGAAUGCCGGUGUGAGUAGCGAAAAGAGGGGUGAGAAUCCCCUCCGUCGAAAGCCCAAGGUUUCCUGAGGAAGGCUCGUCCGCUCAGGGUUAGUCUGGACCUAAGCCGAGGCCGAAAGGCGUAGGCGAUGGAUAACAGGUUGAUAUUCCUGUACCACCGAUCCACCGUUUGAACAAUGGGGGGACGCAGGAGGAUAGUGACGCAUGCGGAUGGAAGUGCAUGUGUAAGUUUCGAGACCGUCUGAUUGGCAAAUCCGUCAGGCAUCAAAGUCGAGGAACGAUGCGGAGUCCCGUAGGGACGAAGGUCACGAUUUCACACUGCCAAGAAAAGCCUCUAGUGAGGUGGAAGGUGCCAGUACCGUAAACCGACACAGGUAGGCGGGAUGAGAAUUCUAAGACGCGCGGGAUAACUCUCGUUAAGGAACUCGGCAAAAUGGUCCCGUAACUUCGGGAGAAGGGACGCUCUACAUUGAGUAGAGCCGCAGUGAAUAGGCCCAAACGACUGUUUAGCAAAAACACAGGUCUCUGCUAAAUCGCAAGAUGACGUAUAGGGGCUGACGCCUGCCCGGUGCUGGAAGGUUAAGGGGAUGGGUUAGCGCAAGCGAAGCUUUGAACCGAAGCCCCAGUAAACGGCGGCCGUAACUAUAACGGUCCUAAGGUAGCGAAAUUCCUUGUCGGGUAAGUUCCGACCCGCACGAAAGGCGUAACGAUUUGGGCACUGUCUCAACGAGAGACCCGGUGAAAUCAUAGUACCUGUGAAGAUGCAGGUUACCCGCGACAGGACGGAAAGACCCCAUGGAGCUUUACUACAGCCUGAUAUUGAGGCUUUGUGCAUGAUGUACAGGAUAGGCGGGAGACGUCGAGACCGGAGCGCCAGCUUCGGAGGAGUCACCCUUGGGAUACCGCCCUUCAUGCAUAGAGUCUCUAACUCGCAGCCGUCAUCCGGCUGGAGGACCGUGUCAGGCGGGUAGUUUGACUGGGGCGGUCGCCUCCUAAACAGUAACGGAGGCGCCCAAAGGUUCCCUCAGAAUGGUUGGAAAUCAUUCGUAGAGCGCAAAGGCAGAAGGGAGCUUGACUGCGAGACCUACAAGUCGAGCAGGGACGAAAGUCGGGCUUAGUGAUCCGGUGGUUCCGCAUGGAAGGGCCAUCGCUCAACGGAUAAAAGCUACCCUGGGGAUAACAGGCUGAUCUCCCCCAAGAGUCCACAUCGACGGGGAGGUUUGGCACCUCGAUGUCGGCUCAUCGCAUCCUGGGGCUGGAGUAGGUCCCAAGGGUUGGGCUGUUCGCCCAUUAAAGCGGUACGCGAGCUGGGUUCAGAACGUCGUGAGACAGUUCGGUCCCUAUCCGUCGUGGGCGCAGGAAAUUUGAGGAGAGCUGUCCUUAGUACGAGAGGACCGGGAUGGACGCACCGCUGGUGUACCAGUUGUUCCGCCAGGAGCAUCGCUGGGUAGCUACGUGCGGACGGGAUAAAUGCUGAAAGCAUCUAAGCAUGAAGCCCCCUCCAAGAUGAGAUUUCCCUUUGAGUAAUCAAGAAAGACCCCUCAGAGACGAUGAGGUAGAUAGGUCACGGGUGGAAGCAUGGCGACAUGCGGAGCUGAGUGAUACUAAUCGGUCGAGGCCUUGUUCUA